CAUGGUUACAGUUCACAUAAAUAUUUAAAUUGUUAUCAAAAUGCCAUGCAUUUGUUGUUUCAGCUGUUGUCGCUGCACAAAUAGCAAAAAAUAAACGUUUUAAGUUUCAAAAUUGAGCGCUCAAAAAUCUGUGUUGGCUGGCAGUGAAAUUUGUAAAAUUGCCUGUCAAACUCAUGUAUUCAUCAACAGAUGGCGCUGAGUAAAAUACGGUUAAGAAACAUGUAGAGCUGUAAUUUUUGGCUGGAGUUCAUGUAAGUCACAAGAGAUGGC
rnacentral:lncRNA from 1 species